CCUACGGGUGGCAGCAGUGAGGAAUAUUGGUCAAUGGACGCGAGUCUGAACCAGCCAAGUAGCGUGAAGGAUGACUGCCCUAUGGGUUGUAAACUUCUUUUAUAUGGGAAUAAAACGUUCCACGUGUGGGAUUUUGUAUGUACCAUAUGAAUAAGGAUCGGCUAACUCCGUGCCAGCAGCCGCGGUAAUACGGAGGAUCCGAGCGUUAUCCGGAUUUAUUGGGUUUAAAGGGUGCGUAGGUGGAUUUUUAAGUCAGUGGUGAAAGUUUGCGGCUCAACCGUAAAAUUGCCGUUGAAACUGGCAGUCUUGAGUACAGUAGAGGUGGGCGGAAUUCGUGGUGUAGCGGUGAAAUGCUUAGAUAUCACGAAGAACUCCGAUUGCGAAGGCAGUUCACUGGACUGCAACUGACGCUGAGGCUCGAAAGUGUGGGUAUCAAACAGGAUUAGAUACCCGUGUAGUC
rnacentral:rRNA from 1 species